AACGCACAUUGCGCCCCUUGGUAUUCCGAGGGGCAUGCCUGUUCGAGCGUCAUUACACCACUCAAGCACUGCUUGGUAUUGGGCAUCGUCCGUCGAAAGACGGGCGUGCCUCGAAGACCUCGGCGGGGCCUAACCGGCUUCGGGCGUAGUAGAGUUAAAUCGAACGUCUUAUAAGUCUGGUUAGAACCCAUUGCCGUAAAACCUUUUAUUUUCUAGGUUGACCUCGGAUCAGGUAGGGAUACCCGCUGAACUUAA
rnacentral:misc_RNA from 1 species